rnacentral:rRNA from 1 species
CAGCCGCCGCGGUAAUACGGAGGGUGCAAGCGUUAAUCGGAAUUACUGGGCGUAAAGCGUGCGUAGGCGGUUCGUUAAGUCUGUUGUGAAAGCCCCGGGCUCAACCUGGGAAUGGCAAUGGAUACUGGCGAGCUAGAGUGUGUCAGAGGAUGGUGGAAUUCCCGGUGUAGCGGUGAAAUGCGUAGAGAUCGGGAGGAACAUCAGUGGCGAAGGCGGCCAUCUGGGACAACACUGACGCUGAGGCACGAAAGCGUGGGGAGCAAACAGGAUUAGAUACCCCCGUAGUCCCUGUCUCUUAUAC